UGGGCGUAAGAGCUCGUAGGCGGCUUGUCGCGUCUGCUGUGAAAGCCCGGGGCUCAACCCCGGGUCUGCAGUGGGUACGGGCAGGCUGGAGUGCAGUAGGGGAGACUGGAAUUCCUGGUGUAGCGGUGAAAUGCGCAGAUAUCAGGAGGAACACCGAUGGCGAAGGCAGGUCUCUGGGCUGUAACUGACGCUGAGGAGCGAAAGCAUGGGGAGCGAACAGGAUUAGAUACCCUGGUAGUCCAUGCCGUAAACGUUGGGCACUAGGUGUGGGGGGCAUUCCACGUCUUCCGCGCCGCAGCUAACGCAUUAAGUGCCCCGCCUGGGGAGUACGGCCGCAAGGCUAAAACUCAAAGGAAUUGACGGGGGCCCGCACAAGCGGCGGAGCAUGCGGAUUAAUUCGAUGCAACGCGAAAAACCUUACCAAGGCUUGACAUGUGCCGG
rnacentral:rRNA from 1 species